AUCCCCUGUGUAUCUCUCAGUCUCUUCCCUCCAGCGAUAUUGAGUUCCCAGCCCAACUUCAGCCAUGAAGAUUCUUUACCUUCUCUUUGCUGUCUUCUUCCUGGUGCUGCAAAGCUCUCCAGGAUUCACCCAGGUUCCUAUCACUACCAUCCCCCAAUGUCUACGUGCUGGGGGCUUCCCCUCCUUUAGGAGAUGUCUCUUCUCUUCUUAUCCCAUUGGAACCUGCGGAAUAGCGUGCGUUUGCUGUAAAUGGCCGUUCUCGGAGUAAGUGAUGGCAGCAGAGAAUGUCAAUGCAGGAUCUCUGGGAAUCUGGCAGACAACACCGUACACUUCUAAAAUCCUUGGAUGCUUUUAAUCUGGGCUGUAAACAAUCUCACAAGCUGGAAAAAAUCCACAAGGGAGCCCUUGUGUCAC